rfam:Oryza glumipatula chromosome 12, whole genome shotgun sequence.
UUUAAGUGCAACCAUCCGUUACCGCGCCUAACUUUGAUCAUCUAUUUUAUUUGAAAAUUUUUUAUAAUUAGUGUUUUGGUUAUUAUGAGAUGAUAAAAUAUAAAUAAUAUUUUACUCGUGACUUAUGUUUUUAAAAUUCUUUUAAAAAUUUUCAAAUAAGACGAAUCGUCAAAGUUAGACGCGGAAAACUAUGGCUGCACUUAAA